rnacentral:rRNA from 1 species
AGCCAUACCACCCUGAACACACCCAGUCUUGUCUGAUCUCAGAAGCUAAGCAGUGUCGGGCCUGGUUAGUACUUGGAUAGAAGAAAAUGUCCCAUGAAAUACAUUGGUUGAUCAAGAGUCCACAGGUGCU